rnacentral:rRNA from 1 species
GUCUACAUGAAGCUAAAUAUAGUUUGACCUGCCCACUGAUGUAUUAAAGGGCCGCGGUAUUUCUGACCGUGCGAAGGUAGCAUAAUCAAUAGUCUUUUAAUUGGAGGCUUGUAUGAAUGGUUGGACGAAAAAUAUACUGUUUCAAAUAAAACAUUUGAAUUUGACUUUUAAGUGAAAAGGCUUAAAUGGGUUAAAAAGACGAUAAGACCCUAUAAAUCUUUACAUUUUUUUUUGUAUUUUUUUAUUUAUUUGGUAUUAAUUAUUAAAUAUAAAAGGUGUGUUAUGUUGGGGCAAUGAUAAUAUAGUAAAAUUAAUUAUUAGAGUAAUUAAACAAAAAUUUUUGUUAGUGUAAAAUAGGUCCUUGUUGAAGAGUAUAAGAUUAAGUUACUUUAGGGAUAACAGCGUUAUUUUUUCUGAGAGUUCUUAUCGAAGAAAGAGAUUGCGACCUCGAUGUUGAAUUAAAAAAUCUUCUUAGUGCAGUAGUUAAGAAAGAAAGUCUGUUCGACUUUUAAAUUUUU